GCUGAUUCUCCUGAAAUAAGUCCUAGGGCAGGAAGAGCUGGAGCUGGGCAGAGACUGCUUCAUGGCAACCUUCCAGGGAGACGGUCAGCACAGUGAUAAUGGAUUGUAAGGCCUACUUGAGUCCAGGGAAUAUUGACCAAAAGCAUUCAACGAAGAAUAUAUUCACUAAAAGCAGAGGAGUGUACUGAGGGUAAUUAUCAAGCCUUGUGUUGCAAUGGUAACAUCACAAAGAAACCUGAGUCCUCAAGCUCAUUUCUGGAGAAACCUCCACCAACCAGCACUGAACACUGAUGGAGCGAGAGAUCUACUGUUGCUGUGCUAAGCCAUGAGAUUGGGGGAUUUGUCUGUUGAGGCAACUGACAUUAAUGA